rnacentral:rRNA from 1 species
AUGCAUUCUUGUGGUUCUUGUUUUGUUUGGAUUUGCUAUUCUAGCCAAGAUUUGGUGAUAUAUUUUGUAUCUAAUGUUGCUGCAAAAGCAAAUAAAAGCAUUAUGAUGAAUCAAUCUAAGUUUUACGGGCCGGGACGAGCUGCGCCAGAUCAGAACUCGCAUAAGCCGACCCAUAAAAAAAAAUAUUCCGCGAAUAUGCUUUUUUACGGGUCUAUUAUGCGGGUCUGUAUCUGUGCCAGCCCGCGCCGACCUUCAAAAAUUGUUUUGCGCGAACUGCAAAUGAGUUAUGCGGGUCGGCGGGAUGCGGGGUCUGCUAGAGUUGCUCUUAUGGGGUCAACCAGGAUAACCUUGCAUUGA